rnacentral:rRNA from 1 species
CCUACGGGUGGGCUGCAGUGGGGAAUAUUGCACAUUGGGGGAAACCCUGAUCCAGCGACGCCGCGUGAGUGAAGCAGUAAUUCGUUAUGUAAAGCUCUAUCAGCAGGGAAGAAAAUGACGGUACCUUAGCAAGAAGCCCCGUCUAAAUACGUGACAGCAGCCGCGGCAAUACGGAGGGGGCAAGCGUUAUCCGGAGUUACUGGGUGUAAAGGGAGCGUAGACGGCAGUGCAAGUGUGGAGUGAAAGGCGGGGGCCCAACCCCCGGACUGCUCUGGAAACUGUACGGCUUGAGUGCAGGAGAGGUAAGUGGAAUUCCUGGUGUAGCGGUGAAAUGCGUAGAUAUUAGGAGGAACACCAGUGGCGAAGGCGGCUUACUGGACUGUAACUGACGUUGAGGCUCGAAAGCGUGGGGAGCAAACAGGAUUAGAUACCCCAGUAGUC